ACCGCGCCCCCUUCUCGGCCCCAUCUCCAUGGCGUCCGGCCGGAUCUCCAGUGCCACGCCGGCUUGGAGCUUCCAUGGCCGCAUCUCUUUUUCCCUGUGAUUUCAUGGCGUCCCUGCGUCGCAUAUUCCCUGAGCUCGUCGCCAUGGCUGCACCCAGCUGCUCCUCCAUGGCUCGUCUCUCCUUGGCACCCAGCCGAGCCCCUCCGCACGCCCAGAUGCCUGCUCGCUGCCAGCUCGCCCUGCUCUCUGUUUUCUCUCUCUGCCGCGCCCGCUGUUGGUUCGCUCUGCUCGCGGCCAGAGCUCCACUGCGUCGCGCCCAAGCUUCUGGCGUCUUCCUCCCC
rnacentral:misc_RNA from 1 species